AGUGGGAUAACUGGGUCAAAUGGUGGUUCCAUUCCCAGUUUUCAGAGGAAUCUCCAAACUGUUUUUACAGAGUGUUUGUACCAAUUUGCAGUCCCACUAGCAAU
rnacentral:pre_miRNA from 1 species